AUCGUCAAUACUCCUAUUUUCCUAUUCGUUUUCUUGUGUUUCGUCGUUUUGAAUGUUUUGAUACUCAUGGUUCUUUCAACUAUUUGUACUUAUUUAAACCUAUUACGGUGAUUACACAAUUUUUUACUCCCGUGUUAUGAUUUUGUGCUCUGUCAAAAUCCCCGGUGCUUACCUUCUGGGUCUGAGUCUCCGGAGCAAAAGGCCACCGGUCCGCGUAAUUAUAACGACUUUAUGUGGAAUCUCACGAAAGAAACGGUCGGCAAAAAGUUGGAGAAGUGUGAGCCUUACAGAUUAUGUCUCAAAUAUUCUGUGAUCGAGGAACACACACUGAAGAAUUAGGUAACACUGUCUUUUGCAGAGCUCUUGGACAAAAGUCUCGGUGAUUUGACUGAAUCACUUCACUUAAUCUUCAUGGUCGAGCUCGGCUGAUUCAUUGCUCAAUAGUUCAUAACUGAUCAAAGGGGAAAAAGCUAGAAUGACACAUAUAGACACAAUAGACGAGUUACAUAAAAAGAAGAAAUUACCAAUUGUUAGACAUAAAAAAAAAAAAUUACUAAAAAUGUUUUUGGUCAUCA